AUACGUAGGGGGCUAGCGUUAUCCGGAAUUACUGGGCGUAAAGGGUGCGUAGGUGGUUUCUUAAGUCAGAAGUGAAAGGCUACGGCUCAACCGUAGUAAGCUUUUGCAACUAAGAGACUUGAGUGCAGGAGAGGAGAGUAGAAUUCCUAGUGUAGCGGUGAAAUGCGUAGAUAUUAGGAGGAAUACCAGUUGCGAAGGCGGCUCUCUGGACUGUAACUGACACUGAGGCACGAAAGCGUGGGGAGCAAACAGGAUUAGAUACCCUGGUAGUCCACGCCGUAAACGAUGAGUACUAGCUGUCGGGGGUUACCCCCCUCGGUGGCGCAGCUAACGCAUUAAGUACUCCGCCUGGGAAGUACGCUCGCAAGAGUGAAACUCAAAUGAAUUGGCGGGG
rnacentral:rRNA from 1 species